UACAGAGGAUGCAAGCGUUAUCCGGAAUGAUUGGGCGUAAAGCGUCUGUAGGUGGCUUUUUAAGUCCGCCGUCAAAUCCCAGGGCUCAACUCUGGACAGGCGGUGGAAACUACCAAGCUGGAGUACGGUAGGGGCAGAGGGAAUUUCCGGUGGAGCGGUGAAAUGCGUUGAUAUCUACAGGAACUCCGGUGGCGAAAGCGGCGUGCUGGACCUUUUCUGACGCUGAGGCGCGAAAGCUAGGGGAGCAAACGGG
rnacentral:rRNA from 1 species